rnacentral:lncRNA from 1 species
UGGUUCAUUCCCUCUAUUCCCACUUUUUACAAAUCUGGUAAGAAAAGGUAAAAUUUCAUGUGGGAAUAGAAGGAAAACUUGUGCAAACAAAGGAUUAUACUGUACAAACAUUUUUUAAUCAACUGUUAAUUGACCAGGUUUUUUUUUUAUUAGAACAGGUAAUAAGUUAUUUUUGCAUCUGUUUAAUUUCUGUUUUUUUUUAAACAAGAUAAAUAAUGAAGUAAAGUUAACAGUUUUCACCCAUUAUUUUAUAUCUUUGAUUAUUGGUCCAAGUAAUUAUAUUUUAAAGUAUACUUUUAUUCCACAUCUUAAGCCAACAGGAAUCACCAAAAGCAUUAAAUUAUCGUUUAUUUAAAGUUACUUUGGAGUUUAAAAAAUAUUUAUUUUGGAUGACCGGCAGAUAUCCUUAUUUCUUAAAUAUGGAACUUUGAACAUGAAAUCUCCAAUAGAAACUGGAAGAUGGCAAAACAUAGAAAGAGAAAACAGAAAAUGUGUAUUGUGUAAUUCAGAUGCCAUUGGUGAUGAAUACCAUUACAUUUUUAAUUGUUCAGCUUUCGAUAAUUGUAGAAAACAAUGUAUUGCAUUUUACAAUUAUUAUUAUAGAAAUAGAACAAACACAUUGAAGUUUUAUGACUUAAUGAUCAUGAAUUCCCCAAAAUGUACAGAACUGAACGAACUUUGUAAACUUAUUAAGGAGAUCAAUAACAAAUUGAACUUUUCUGGGUGAACAAUUGUAAAUGCCUCUAUCUACUUUCAUACAUUAUUUAUUUAUGUAAUUGUAUUGAAAUAUGUAUAAUUAUCUCUAUACCUUUCUGUAAUUUGGUUUGUGAGAAUAAAGAUAUAUAUAUAUAUAUAUAUAUAAGAUUAUACUUGGUUAUAAUAUUAUUUAUAUCAUGAUUUAUUAGUAAAGCAGACAAUUUUUUAAAGUUACAAUUCAAAG